GACGAACGCUGGCGGCGUGCUUAACACACGCCAGUCGAACGGGCCUGUCUUCUUUUUUGGGGGUGGGUUGAGUGGCGAACGGGUGAGUAUCACGUGAGUAACCUGCCCUUCGGUCCUGGAUAACCGCUUGAAAGGGCGGCUAAUACGGGGUGGUCCGGUUGGUCCGCAUGGGCUGGUCGGGAUAGAUUCACUGUUUUUGGUGUUUCGGCGGGGGAUGGGCUCGCGGCCUAUCAGCUUGUUGGUGGGGUGAUGGCCUACCAAGGCGGUGACGGGUAGCCGGCCUGAGAGGGUGGGCGGCCACACUGGGACUGUGAUACGGCCCAGACUCCUGCGGGAGGCAGCAGUGGGGGGGAUUGCACAAUGGGCGGAAGCCUGAUGCAGCGACGUCGCGUGAGGGAUGGAGGCCUUCGGGUUGUGAACCUCUGUUUCCGGUGGUGAAGGCCCUGUCCGUGUGGUGGGGUUGACGGUAGCCGGGGAUGAAGCGCCGGCUAACUACGUG
rnacentral:rRNA from 1 species